GUACACAGAGGGCCUAGCACAUACAAGAAAAUUGGAAUGAUACAAAGAAGAGUAGCGUGGCCCCUGCGCAAGGAUGACCCUCAAAUUCGUGAAGCAUUUAUGUAUAAA